AGUCAGGGCAGGAACUCAAGUAGGA
rnacentral:piRNA from 1 species